AUGACAAUCCCUGUUGUUGCUGCUGCUGUUGUUCCAUUGAUUGUUGUUGUUGUUGUAGUAAGGCCUGAUGCUGCUGUUGUUCCAUUGAUUGUUGUUGUUGUUGUAGUAAGGCCUGAUGCUGCUGUUGUUCCAUUGAUUGUUGUUGUUGUUGUAAUAAGGCCUGAUGCUGCUGUUGUUCCAUUGAUUGUUGGUGUUGUUGUAGUAAGGCCUGAUGCUGCUGUUGUUCCAUUGAUUGUUGUUGUUGUUGUAAUAAGGCCUGAUGCUGCUGUUGUUCCAUUGAUUGUUGUUGUUGUUGUUGUUGUAGUAAGGCCUGAUGCUGCUGUUGUUCCAUUGAUUGUUGUUGUUGUUGUAGUAAGGCCUGAUGCUGCUGUUGUUCCAUUGAUUGUUGUUGUUGUUGUAGUAAGGCCUGAUGCUGCUGUUGUUCCAUUGAUUGUUGUUGUUGUUGUAGUAAGGCCUGAUGCUGCUGUUGUUCCAUUGAUUGUUGUUGUUGUUGUAGUAAGGCCUGAUGCUGCUGUUGUUCCAUUGAUUGUUGUUGUUGUAGUAGUAAGGCCUGAUGCUGCUGUUGUUCCAUUGAUUGUUGUUGUUGUUGUAGUAAGGCCUGAUGCUGCUGUUGUUCCAUUGAUUGUUGUUGUUGUUGUAGUAAGGCCUGAUGCUGCUGUUGUUCCAUUGAUUGUUGUUGUUGUUGUAGUAAGGCCUGAUGCUGCUGUUGUUCCAUUGAUUGUUGUUGUUGUUGUAAUAAGGCCUGAUGCUGCUGUUGUUCCAUUGAUUGUUGUUGUUGUUGUAGUAAGGCCUGAUGCUGCUGUUGUUCCAUUGAUUGUUGUUGUUGUUGUAGUAAGGCCUGAUGCUGCUGUUGUUCCAUUGAUUGUUGUUGUUGUUGUAAUAAGGCCUGAUGCUGCUGUUGUUCCAUUGAUUGUUGUUGUUGUUGUAGUAAGGCCUGAUGCUGCUGUUGUUCCAUUGAUUGUUGUUGUUGUUGUAGUAAGGCCUGAUGCUGCUGUUGUUCCAUUGAUUGUUGUUGUUGUAGUAGUAAGGCCUGAUGCUGCUGUUGUUCCAUUGAUUGUUGUUGUUGUAGUAGUAAGGCCUGAUGCUGCUGUUGUUCCAUUGAUUGUUGUUGUUGUUGUAGUAAGGCCUGAUGCUGCUGAACCAAAGCUUGCUGCACAUACACUUGCUGCUGUGGCUCAGUAG
rnacentral:lncRNA from 1 species